rnacentral:rRNA from 1 species
GAUGAACGCUAGCGGCAGGCUUAAUACAUGCAAGUCAAGGGGGUAGCAAUACAACCGGCGCACGGGUGAGUAACGCGUACACAACAUACCAUAUACUGGGGUAUAGCUUCGGGAAACUGAAGGUAAUCCCCCAUAAUAUUGCGGGAAGGCAUCUUUCGUGCAAUUUAAAGUUUUCGACGGUAUAUGAUUGGUGUGCGUUUGAUUAGCUAGUUGGUAGGGUAACCGGCCUACCAAGGCGACGAUCAAUAGGCCUGGCGUGAGAGCGCGACCAGCCACACUGGAACUGAGACACGGUCCAGACUCCUACGGGAGGCAGCAGUAGGGAAUAUUGGACAAUGGGCGAAAGCCUGAUCCAGCCAUUGCCGCGUGAUAGAUGAAGGCCCUCCUGGGUUGGUAAAUAUC